GACGAACGCUGGCGGCGUGCUUAACACAUGCAAGUCGAACGGAAAGGCCUGCUUUCCCUUGUGGAUUGCGGGUACUCGAGUGGCGAACGGGUGAGUAACACGUGAGUGAUCUGCCCCCAACUUGAGUAUAAGCCUGGGAAACUGGGUCUAAUUCCCGAUAGGACUGCAGGGUGGUGCCUGUGGUGGAAAACGAUUUUCUAGUGGUUGGGGAUGAGCUCGCGGCCUAUCAGCUUGUUGGUGGGGUAAUGGCCUACCAAGGCGGCGACGGGUAGCCGGCCUGAGAGGGUGGACGGCCACAUUGGGACUGAGAUACGGCCCAGACUCCUACGGGAGGCAGCAGUGGGGAAUAUUGCACAAUGGGCGGAAGCCUGAUGCAGCGACGCCGCGUGGGGGAUGACGGCCUUCGGGUUGUAAACUCCUUUCGACCGCGAGGAAGCCACCUGGUUGGAAGGGUGGUGACGGUAGUGGUAGAAGAAGCACCGGCUAACUACGUG
rnacentral:rRNA from 1 species